AUACGUAGGUGGCAAGCGUUGUCCGGAAUUACUGGGUGUAAAGGGAGCGCAGGCGGGACAGCAAGUUGGAUGUGAAAUACCGCAGCUCAACUGCGGAGCUGCAUCCAAAACUGUUGUUCUUGAGUGGAGUAGAGGUAGGCGGAAUUCCGAGUGUAGCGGUGAAAUGCGUAGAUAUUCGGAGGAACACCAGUGGCGAAGGCGGCCUACUGGGCUCUUACUGACGCUGAGGCUCGAAAGUGUGGGGAGCAAACAGGAUUAGAUACCCUGGUAGUCCACACUGUAAACGAUGAUUGCUAGGUGUGGGGGGUCUGACCCCUUCCGUGCCGGAGUUAACGCAAUAAGCAAUCCACCUGGGGAGUACGGCCGCAAGGUUGAAACUCAAAUGAAUUGGCGGGG
rnacentral:rRNA from 1 species